GUACACACCGCCCGUCACACCAUGGGAGUGGGUUGCAAAAGAAGUGGGUAGUCUAACCUUCGGGAGGGCGCUCACCACUUUGUGAUUCSWUGACUGGGGUGAAGUCGUAACAAGGUAGCCGUAGGUGAACCUGCAGAAGGAUCA
rnacentral:rRNA from 1 species